GACGUCUUUUCAGAACAACAUAUCUGCGCUUUAUUCGAGCACCGAAACAGUGCUUCGUUUUAUUUGCCAGUGUCUGUGCGCAGCAUGUGCAUAACGAUGCUCAGAACAGGCUAGCCUACCAGUGAAUAUACGGCCCGCAGACAGAACAGGCAGGUUGUCGAUGAGUGACAGAGCAGAAUAAAGAUGGAGCAGAGUGUGGAUGCGCUGUCCUUGAAGAGCGCUCAACUCGGUUUUGUUUAUAUUUUGCUUAGCCUAUCAUUUUAAAUGACAGAUGUCGAAUUUAUUUAUUUAUUUUUCUUCCGCGACACUUGUCCUAGGCUAGCUACUGUGUUUACAGCAAGAUGUUAAACGAAUUUAGUAUUUUGACAAGACGAAUAAAAUUAUAAUAGGCCAUUUUUGUACAACCUACAUUUUUUUUUUCUCUGCGACACUUGUUCCUAUUGUGUUGUAAAGGUUAAACGAAUUGUAUCCUGACAAGACGAAUAAAAAUAAGGAAUACCAUUUUUGUACAUUUUUAUUUUCUCUGUGACACUUUUUUUUCCUACUGUGUUGGCAGCAAAAUGUUAAACGAAUUUGUGCACACUACACGUUUAUAUGUUAGCCUAUCUGUCUUUCUUUCAGUAGAGGAAAUUUAAAUGUGUGAUUCUGGAAACGAGAUCUAAAUUUAGCGGGAACGGUCGGGUCGGGAAGAAAAUUAUUCAAAGCGGACAGCGGGUGAACAAAGAGUAAAUAUAUCGCGGGUGCGGGAUAUAACCUCGCGGGAGCGGAUCUAAAAACCAGUCCCGCGCAGACCUCUAGCUCGAACUGACCGGCGUCCUUUGGGUUGUUAUGACAACGACGCUGCUUAGAGCCGCACUGUUUCGCGUUUCAUUUACACUGAAUCAAAACAGCGUUGCGUCGCCUUUGAUACUAGGGACUGAGGUGAACUUCUGUUAUUAUUUUUAGCGCGUGAACGGGACUUUUAUUUUGGUGUGGUGACGUCAUAAGGCUGCGCCGCGCUCCUGCAUCCGUGUUUCUGCUGGAGAAAGAAAAACUCCUGCUGAAGCACACUGUUAUAAAGAUGGCGUUUAUUAAAGAGGAAAGUGAAGACAUAAAGAUUGAAGAAGCUUUUACUGUCAAAAAUGAAGAUACCGAGGAACAACAAACAGAGAUGAUGUUUAUUAUAGACGAGAGUGGAGAGGUGAUAGAAGAUACUCAGCAACAAACAGAGAUGAUGUUUAUUAUAGAGGAGACGAUUGAAGUCAAACAAGAAGAUACUGAGGAACAAAGAGAGAUUAAGUUUAUUAAAGAGGAGAGCGAAGACGUGAAGAAUGAAGUCAAACAAGAAGAUACUGAGGAACAAACAGAGAUUAAGUUUAUUAAAGAGGAGAGCGAAGACGUGAAGAAUGAAGUCAAACAUGAAGAUACUGAGGAACAAACAGGUCGGUUUCAUCAGUCAUUCUGUGGCAUGAAUCUCUUUAUCUCGCACAUUAAAUGAUGAUAAACAGUAAAUAGCCAAAACUAAGUAUUUUGUGUAACAUUAAGCCUAGUAUGUACUUAAAAACAAUGAAAACCAUUCAUUUCUAUCACUUUGCAACAGUAUCUGGGUCAACGACGUGACGCAAAUAUUUUUUGUGUCCAUAUGGUUUAAUUAAAUUUAAAAGGGUUAAAAUUUCAAAAUAAAUGUGCAAAUUAAUUGCAUACAUUCUCUUUUUUGUGAAGUCUACAAUUUCUGGUUUUAAUUCAUUUUGAGAGAAUAUUUGGGGGAUGAUUGAAAAAAUGUCAAUGUGGUGUAACCGUAAAAACCUUAUACCAAAAAAUGGAUCUUGUUUAAAAAAGGUGAAAUUAUCAAUAAAACACCAGAUCAGCUAGUUUGGCAUAAUCGUACAUUAGCACUAUUUAAUAGUAAGUAAAAGUAAAUGGAGCACCAUUGUUCUGAAUAUUAUGAUUAAUUUGGGGAAUUCCUUGAGUGUCAAGGUGGUGUAACCACCAUUCAAGGAGCCGUUUUGUUAAUAUUUUGCAAGGUCAUGUGACAGGAAAUUAUAUCACAGAGAAGGACCUCUGGUGAUACUAACUGCUGCAUGCAAAGUAGAGACCUGCGCGGGACAGAUUUUUCAGUCCCGCUCCCGCAAGAUUCUGUCCCGUGCCCGCAGAAAUUUAUCUUAUCUGGUCCCGCUCCCAACCGCGACAUUCAUGUUUUGUCCUGCUCCCGCCCACAUGAAAGUAAUCUAUAUAGAUUUUUUUUUCUGUACAUCGAAGAUAUGUACAUGAAAUGGUUCUAUAACAUCUCCUAAGCUCCACAACAUCCAAGCAUAAAAGCUCCCAAUAAAAUAUUUGUUAUUUAGGCUCAGCAUCAACAUUCACA